AUUGAACGCUGGCGGCAGGCCUAACACAUGCAAGUCGAACGAGUGGCGGACGGGUGAGUAAUGUCUGGGAAACUGCCCGAUGGAGGGGGAUCACUACUGGAAACGGUAUCUAAUACCGCAUUCCCUCGGAUUUGCCCAGAUGGGAUUAGCUAGUAGGUGGGGGAACGGCUCACCUAGGCGACGAUCCCUAGCUGGUCUGAGAGGAUGACCAGCCACACGGGAACUGAGACACGGUCCAGACCCCUACGGGAGGAAGCAUGGGGGAAUAUUGCAAAAGGGGCGCAAGCCGGAUGAAGACAGGCCGGGUGGAUGAAGAAGGCUUUCGGGUUGAAAAGUACUUUCAGCGGGGAGGCGUUACCCGAAGAAGAAGCACCGGCUAACUCCGUGCCAGCAGCCGCGGUAAUUC
rnacentral:rRNA from 1 species